AUUGAACGCUGGCGGCAGGCCUAACACAUGCAAGUCGAACGAGUGGCGGACGGGUGAGUAAUGUCUGGGAAACUGCCCGAUAGAGGGGGAUAACUACUGGAAACGGUAGCUAAUACCGCAUACCAUACGAUGAGCCCAUAUGGGAUUAGCUAGUUGGUGGGGUAACGGCUCACCAGGGGGACGAUCCCUAGCUGGGCUGAGAGGAUGACCAGCCACACUGGAACUGAGACACGGCCAAGACUCCUCCGGGAGCAAGCAGGGGGGAAUAUUGCACAAUGGGCGCAAGCCUGAUGCAGCCAUGCCGCGUGUAUGAAGAAGGCCUUCGGGUUGUAAAGUACUUUCAGCGGGGAGGCGUUACCCGCAGAAGAAGCACCGGCUAACUCCGUGCCAGCAGCCGCGGUAAUUC
rnacentral:rRNA from 1 species